CAGGAUGGUUUGUCGCUUGUUUUCAUGCAAGAGGAAAGUCCGGGCAACACAGAGCGCCAUGCUUCUUAACGGGAAGUUAUCUGCGAAGGUAAGGUAGUGUGACAGAAAAUAACCGCCUCAUUCAUGGUGAGGUAAGGGUGAAAAGGCGAGGUAAGAGCUCACCGGCUUUUAUGGCAACAUAAGAGUGGUACGCCCCAUGGGUUGCAAGGUCAUGUAUACCGACAGUAAAGGGUGGCUCGUCCGAUGUCGGGGGGUAGACCGCUAGAACUUUGCGGUGACGCAAAGUCGAGAUAAAUGACAAACGCCUGAAAUAAGGAACAGAACCCGGCUUAUAAUCCUGCUGUU
rnacentral:RNase_P_RNA from 1 species